CCUUACACAUGCAAGUCGAACGGCAGCACGGGGGCAACCCUGGUGGCGAGUGGCGAACGGGUGAGUAAUACAUCGGAACGUGUCCUGUAGUGGGGGAUAGCCCGGCGAAAGCCGGAUUAAUACCGCAUACGCUCUGCGGAGGAAAGCGGGGGAUCUUCGGACCUCGCGCUACAGGGGCGGCCGAUGGCAGAUUAGCUGGUUGGUGGGGUAAAGGCCUACCAAGGCGACGAUCUGUAGCUGGUCUGAGAGGACGACCAGCCACACUGGGACUGAGACACGGCCCAGACUCCUACGGGAGGCAGCAGUGGGGAAUUUUGGACAAUGGGCGCAAGCCUGAUCCAGCAAUGCCGCGUGUGUUGAAGAAGGCCUU
rnacentral:rRNA from 1 species